rnacentral:lncRNA from 1 species
CUGUGACUAUUAAGAAUCAGCUCAUGAGCUUUAUCUUCAAGUCUGAUUGUUAUCUUGGGUUCUUCAUCUCAGUGACCUGUCCACCACGCUCCCAGUUGCCCAAGCUGGAGAUCUGCAUCCUCCUGGGCCCCUCCGUUCCUCUCGCGUCCAGUUGCACACUAGCUCGCUUUUAUUCUGCCUCUUAAAUGUCGCUGGAAUCUGUCCCCUUGUCUGUUUCCCCUCUGCUCCUUCCCUGGCUGUGCCACCAUCACUCCUGUGGGUUCCUGAGCAGCAUUUUCAUGGGUGCCC